CUGUGCUGGCACCCAAUGGGGAGCAUGGGGGUGGGUGUCAAAAUCGGGUGUCUAGGCAGUGUCUGUGCCACAGCCCCUGUCCUCUGAGAAGCUGGAAUCAAUUAGGCCCAUGGCUGUAAUGAAUUUACACGUGGGAUUUAUCUCAUUUGCCUCAUUCUGCUUCUAUGCAAACUGCGUCCAUCAGACUCGAGGAGAUUGCAGUGUUGAGGAAGGACGGGAACUGGGGGCUCUGGGCAAUGGGGACAAGAGAGAUGCCACCAGCCAGGAGGUGACAGUCCAAGAAUCACAGGGCUAUGGCACAGGGUAUGGCAACAACACCCCGAACCUGUGCUGAACUGGCACAUUCCUCCAAGGAGAUCUUUCUAUUUGAAAGAGGAAAGCAUGUCAAACAAAUUUAAAAUGCUUUGGGUUUUAUUUAUAUUUCAGUCUAGGGAGAAUUGGAUGAAAAA